UAGUACGGCGAGUGAGCGGCAACAGCUCAAAUUUGAAAGCUAGCCUUCGGGUUCGCAUUGUAAUUUGUAGAGGAUGAUUUGGGGAAGCCGCCUGUCUAAGUUCCUUGGAACAGGACGUCAUAGAGGGUGAGAAUCCCGUAUGUGACAGGAAAUGGCACCCUAUGUAAAUCUCCUUCGACGAGUCGAGUUGUUUGGGAAUGCAGCUCUAAAUGGGAGGUAAAUUUCUUCUAAAGCUAAAUAUUGGCGAGAGACCGAUAGCGCACAAGUAGAGUGAUCGAAAGAUGAAAAGCACUUUGGAAAGAGAGUUAAAAAGCACGUGAAAUUGUUGAAAGGGAAGCGCUUGCAAUCAGACUUGUUUAAACUGUUCGGCCGGUCUUCUGACCGGUUUACUCAGUUUGGACAGGCCAGCAUCAGUUUCGGCGGCCGGAUAAAGGCUCUGGGAAUGUGGCCUCCACUUCGGUGGAGGUGUUAUAGCCCAGGGUGUAAUACGGCCAGCCGGGACUGAGGUCCGCGCUUCGGCUAGGAUGCUGGCGUAAUGGUUGUAAGCGACCCGUCUU
rnacentral:rRNA from 1 species